rnacentral:tRNA from 1 species
CUCUGGGUGGUAUAUCGGUUAAUGCGCUUGGCUGCUAACCAAAAGGUUGGAGGUUUGAGUCCACCCAGAGG